CGGGGUGUCGUAUACCGGUAGUACGACUGGUUUGGGACCAGUUAGACGGGGUUCAAUUCCCCGCACCCCGA
rfam:Parcubacteria bacterium C7867-007 C7867_00057, whole genome shotgun sequence.